GCUGGCGUAGCUCAAUGGUAGAGCACCCGCUUUGUAAGCGGGUGGUUGCGGGUUCGAUUCCCAUCGCCAGCU
rnacentral:tRNA from 1 species